AACGAACGCUGGCGGCAUGCCUAACACAUGCAAGUCGAACGAGACCUUCGGGUCUAGUGGCGCACGGGUGCGUAACGCGUGGGAACCUGCCCUUAGGUUCGGAAUAACUCCCCGAAAGGGGUGCUAAUACCGGAUAAUGUCUUCGGACCAAAGAUUUAUCGCCUUUGGAUGGGCCCGCGUUGGAUUAGCUAGUUGGUAGGGUAAAAGCCUACCAAGGCGACGAUCCAUAGCUGGUCUGAGAGGAUGAUCAGCCACACUGGGACUGAGACACGGCCGAGACUCCUACGGGAGGGAGCAAAGGGGGAUGGUGGACAAUGGGGGAAAUGAUGAUGGAGCUCUGCCGGGAGAGUGAUGAAGUCGUUAGGGAUGUAAAGCUCUUGUAACCGGGAAGAUAAUGACGGUACCGGGAGAAUAAGCUCCGGCUAACUACGUG
rnacentral:rRNA from 1 species